rnacentral:rRNA from 1 species
GCAGUCAACGGCCCUUCGGGGCAGUGGCAGACGAGGUAGUAACACGUAGGAACCAACCCAGAAGUCAGGAAUAACUCACCGAAAGGUGAGCUAAUACUUGAUAGUCCCCAAGGGGUAAAGAUUUAUCGCUUUUGGAUGGGCCUGCGUAGUAUCAGCUUGUUGGUAGUGUAAAGGACUACCAAGGCUAUGACGCUUAGGGGGAGUGAGAGCUCGAUCCCCACCGAUGGUACUGAGACACGGACCAUACACCUACGGGUGGCCGCAGUCGAGAAUCUUCCGCAAUGGACGAAAGUCUGACGGAGCGACGCCGCGUGAUCGAUGAAGUCUUUCGGGAUGUAAAGAUCUUUUCUGAAGGAGGAAGUUUAUUGACGUUACUUCAGGAAUAAGGGGUUGCUAAACUCGUGCCAGCAGCAGCGGUAAUACGAGUGCCCCGAGCGUUAUCCGGAAUUAUUGGGUGUAAAGGGUCCGCAGGCGGUUCUAUUAGUCUUUUGUUAAAUAUCCCGGCUCAACUGGGAAAGGGCAAAAGAAACGGUAGAACUAGAGGAUGCGAGGGGUACAGGGAACUCAUGGUGUAGGGGUGAAAUCCGUUGAUAUCAUGNGGAACACCAAAAGCGAAGGCACUGUACUGGCGCACUCCUGACGCUCAGGGACGAAAGCGUGGGUAGCGAAUGGGAUUAGAUACCCUGGUA